rnacentral:rRNA from 1 species
UACACUCCUGCGGGAGGCAGCAGUGGGGAAUAUUGCACAAUGGGCGCAAGCCUGAUGCAGCCAUGCCGCGUGUAUGAAGAAGGCCUUCGGGUUGUAAAGUACUUUCAGCGGGGAGGAAGGCGAUAAGGUUAAUAACCUUGUUGAUUGACGUUACCCGCAGAAGAAGCACCGGCUAACUCCGUGCCAGCAGCCGCGGUAAUACGGAGGGUGCAAGCGUUAAUCGGAAUUACUGGGCGUAAAGCGCACGCAGGCGGUCUGUCAAGUCGGAUGUGAAAUCCCCGGGCUCAACCUGGGAACUGCAUUCGAAACUGGCAGGCUAGAGUCUUGUAGAGGGGGGUAGAAUUCCAGGUGUAGCGGUGAAAUGCGUAGAGAUCUGGAGGAAUACCGGUGGCGAAGGCGGCCCCCUGGACAAAGACUGACGCUCAGGUGCGAAAGCGUGGGGAGCAAACAGGAUUAGAUACCCGAGUAGUCCCA